UGAAGUAAGUAAGGGCGUACGGUGAAUGCCUUGGUGCCAACAGGCGAAGAAGGACGCGGCAAGCUGCGAAAAUCCUCGGGAAGCUGCAAGCAAGCGAUGAUCCGGGGGUAUCCGAAUGGGGUAACCUGAUCGAGGCAAUACUCGAUCGUUCAUACCUGAAUACAUAGGGUAUGAAACGCGAAACCCGCUGAAGUGAAACAUCUCAGUAAGCGGAGGAAAAGAAAGAGAAAUCGAUUCCGUAAGUAGUGGCGAGCGAAAGCGGAUGGAGCCCAAACCGAAGGUACUCCUUCGGGGUUGUAGGACCACGAGAUAUUCGACCAUACUGGAUAGUAGAACAGCCUGGAAAGGCUGGCCGUAGAAGGUGAAAGCCCUGUAGACGAAAUCCAGCGUGGGAAUUAGUGGGAUCCUGAGUAAUACAUCACACGUGGAACGAUGUAUGAAUCAGCGCGGACCACCGCGCAAGGCUAAAUACUAGUUGGCGACCGAUAGUGAACAAGUACCGCGAGGGAAAGGUGAAAAGAACCGCUGUGAGCGGAGUGAAAUAGAACCUGAAACCGUAUGUCUACAAAGUGUCAGAGCAGAGCAAUCUGCGAUGGCGUGCCUUUUGUUUAAUGAGUCUGCGAGUCAGUGUUUGUGGCAAGACUAAGGGCUUCCGGCCCGGAGUCGCAGCGAAAGCAAGUCCGAAUAGGGCGAAUUAAGUCGCAGGUACUGGACCCGAAGCGGAGGUGACCUACCCUUGGCCAGGUUGAAGCAUGGGUAAAACCAUGUGGAGGACCGAACAGGUGAACGUUGAAAAGUUCUCUGAUGAGCUGAGGGUAGGAGUGAAAGGCUAAUCAAACCCCGUGAUAGCUGGUUCUCUUCGAAAUGCAUUUAGGUGCAGCGUCACGUGCUGAUGCGCGGGGGUAGAGCACUGACAAGGCUAGGGGGCACACCCGCUUACCAAACCUUAUCAAACUCCGAAUACCGUGCAAUGGAACGUGGCAGUGAGACAGUGGGGGAUAAGCUUCAUUGUCGAGAGGGAAACAACCCAGACCAGCAGCUAAGGUGCCUAAAUAACGCUCAGUGGAAAGGAUGUGGGAUUACACAGACAGUGAGGAUGUUGGCUUAGAAGCAGCCACCAUUUAAAAAAUGCGUAAUAGCUUACUCAUCGAGUGAUCCUGCGCCGAAAAUGAUUGGCGAUCAAGCGUUAUACCGAAGCUCUGGACUUUACCUUACGGUAGAGUGGUAGAAGAGCGUUGCAUGCGCGUUGAAGGGUGAUGGCGACUGACCCUGGAGCACAUGCAAGUGAGUAUGCAGACAUGAGUAACGUAAAGCCGGGUGAAAUCCCCGGCCGCCGUAAACCCGAGGUUUCCAGGGCAACGUGUUUCGUCCCUGGGUUAGCCGGGACCUAAGCCGAGGCCGAAAGGCGUAGGUGAUGGACAACAGGUUGAUAUUCCUGUACUAGAGUAUGUAGUGAUGGAGGGACGCAGUAGGCUAACUAAACCAGACGAUUGGAAGUGUCUGGCCAAGCAGUGAGGUGUGAUAUGAGUCAAAUGCUUAUAUCUUUAACAUUGAGCUGUGAUGGGGAGCGAAGUUUAGUAGCGAAGUUAGUGAUGUCACACUGCCGAGAAAAGCUUCUAGCGUUAAUUAUACUCUACCCGUACCGCAAACCGACACAGGUAGUCGAGGCGAGUAGCCUCAGGUGAGCGAGAGAACUCUCGUUAAGGAACUCGGCAAAAUGACCCCGUAACUUCGGGAGAAGGGGUGCUGGCUUUGAGUCAGCCGCAGUGAAUAGGCCCAAGCAACUGUUUAUCAAAAACACAGCUCUCUGCUAAAUCGUAAGAUGAUGUAUAGGGGGUGACGCCUGCCCGGUGCUGGAAGGUUAAGAGGAGUGCUUAGCGUAAGCGAAGGUAUGAAUUGAAGCCCCAGUAAACGGCGGCCGUAACUAUAACGGUCCUAAGGUAGCGAAAUUCCUUGUCGGGUAAGUUCCGACCCGCACGAAAGGCGUAAUGAUUUGAGCGCUGUCUCGACAAUGCAUCCGGUGAAAUUGAAGUACCAGUGAAGAUGCUGGUUACCUGCGCCAGGACGGAAAGACCCCAUGGAGCUUUACUCCAGUUUGAUACUGGGAUUCGGUACUGCAUGUACAGGAUAGGUGGGAGACGAAGAAGGAUGGACGCCAGUCUGUCCGGAGUCGCUGUUGGGAUACCACCCCUGUAGUACUGGGUUUCUAACCAGUUGCCAUGAUCUGGUAAUGGGACAAUGUCAGGCGGGGAGUUUGACUGGGGCGGUCGCCUCCGAAAGGGUAUCGGAGGCGCUCAAAGGUUCCCUCAGAAUGGUUGGAAACCAUUCGAAGAGUGCAAAGGCAGAAGGGAGCUUGACUGCGACACCGACGGGUGGAGCAGGUACGAAAGUAGGACUUAGUGAUCCGGUGGUAUAAAGUGGGAUUGCCAUCGCUCAACGGAUAAAAGCUACCCUGGGGAUAACAGGCUUAUCACUCCCAAGAGUUCACAUCGACGGAGUGGUUUGGCACCUCGAUGUCGGCUCAUCGCAUCCUGGGGCUGUAGUAGGUCCCAAGGGUUGGGCUGUUCGCCCAUUAAAGCGGUACGCGAGCUGGGUUCAGAACGUCGUGAGACAGUUCGGUCCCUAU
rnacentral:rRNA from 1 species